ACAGACAUCCUUUUGGCUGAGUUCUGCUGCCUGAAAACUUCUGUCAAAACACAGAAUCGUUUCUGGAAGUGAGACGAUUGAACUGGUUUCUUGCCAACAGGUGUCCCAGAAGGAGCGUUCGCAGCUCCCUGGAGGCGGGAACGGAGUCCCCCGGGGAGAGAGUGGUCCAGGGUUUGCCCUCAGGCGUCCACACUGUCCGCCGGCGAGGCUGGUCCUGUUCCCAGCACCCACGCUGCUAGAGCCACCGGAUCUCCCAGGAGGAGACCCAGCUGCACUCAGAAGAAUCACGCUGGCCUAGGAGAUGGACGGCGGCGUGCGGGGACCGUGUGCGGCUGCAAAGCUGAGCUGUCGUCUUGCCUGUGGCUUCCGAAAUGCAGCCCUGGGCCCUGUGAUCGCUGCAUUUUCUCUGCGCAGCUUUGAGGGACGGAGUGUGCUGACCAACAGAAGAAAGGCAAACAGCAGAAACUGACACUGUGGUGGCCACUGGACGUGGCCUCGGUCGGCUGCGGAGAGAGAAUUUAUUUCCACAGCGACCCUCAGGAGGCGCAGGUCUUGGCCAGACCCAUUCUUAGAAAGGAACAUGAGAUCAGAAAGGCUUGUGUGUUGUUUUAAAACAAACCCUGCAUCCACUGCUCACCUAGUCCUCUGUGAGGCAGGUGACACCUCCUCCUGAAGAGAAUCGGGGCGUCCCGCAACUACCCCACUCUUCCCACUGCCUGUGCAGUGCAGAGCAGGACACACCUGCAGGGGCCAGGGGACAAGCGCUGGGUUCCGUAGAACGGUCCUGGGUCCUGUAGAGGGGUCCUGGGUUCUGUAGAGGGGCCCUGGGUUCUAUAGAGGGGCCCUGGGUCCUGUAGAGGGGUCCUGGGUUCUACAGAGGGGCCCUGGGUCCUGUAGAGGGGUCCUGGGUUCUGUAGAGGGGUCCUCGGUUCUGUAGAGGGGUCCUGGGUUCUGUAGAGGGGUCCUGGGUUCUAUAGAGGGGUCCUGGGUUCUGUGGAGGGGUCCUGGGUUCUGUAGAUGGGUUCUGGGUUCUGUAGAAGGGUCCUGGGUUCUGUAGAGGGGUCCUGGGUUCUGUAGAUGGGUUCUGGGUUCUGUAGAGGGGUCCUGAGUUCUGUAGAGGGGUCCUGAGUUCUGUAGAGGGGUCCUGGGUUCUGUAGAGGGGUCCUGAGUUCUGUAGAGGGGCCCUGGGUUCUGUAGAGGGGUCCUGGGUUCUGUAGAGGGGUCCUGGGUUCUGUAGAGGGGUCCUGGGUUCUAUGGAGGGGUCCUGCGUUCUGUAGAGGGGUCCUGGGUUCUGUAGAGGGGUCCUGAGUUCUGUAGAUGGGUUCUGGGUUCUGUAGAGGGGUCCUGAGUUCUGUAGAGGGGUCCUGGGUUCUAUGGAGGGGUCCUGCAUUCUGUAGAGGGGUCCUGGGUUCUGUAGAGGGGUCCUGAGUUCUGUAGAGGGGCCC
rnacentral:lncRNA from 1 species